rnacentral:rRNA from 1 species
AUGGACCGUCUCGAGAACAGUGCUUAUAUGUUGAAUAUUGCUUUUGUAAAGCUUUCCCUGUUCCUCUACAGUUUGGUAGAGUUAGCCGCUGAGUAUGGUACACGGGAAGACGUUGACAUUCUCUUUCUUUUCACCUCUCCUGUUUCAACUGUGGCAAAUUGGAGUGUUGAUGGAAUCAUUAGUCAUGUGAAGAUGGAAAUCAAGCAACUUGAGGAUGAAAAUCUUGUGAAAAAGCGGAUGUCUGAGCUGAAAGGCCAAGCGGAUGAAGCAUUUAACACAGGUACGUCUUCAGACUAUAUUUUUUGUUACAACCGUGAAACAUGUUUCUCAGUUACAAUUUAG